rnacentral:misc_RNA from 1 species
AGGUUUCUGUACUUGGAAGGAGUGGAAUAUAUCAUGUGGUGCACAUAUGAUGUUCACUUCUAUGCAUCAUUUGCCCUUCUUGAGUUGUUUCCCAAAAUUGAGCUCAAUAUUCAGCGUGACUUUGCUAAAGCUGUGCUUCCUGAGGAUGGAAGGAAAGUAAAGUUUCUGGCAGAGGGUAAUGUUGGAAUCCGUAAGAUCAUGAGGGAUAGCUCCUCUGACCU